GGUAGGGUGCCGGAGUGGACAAACGGGCACGCUUGGAAAGCGUGAGCCGCAAGGCUACGCAGGUUCGAAUCCUGUCCCUACCG
rnacentral:tRNA from 1 species